ensembl:lncRNA
GCACUCAGUCAACAUGGAGGGGGCUGGCACUCCGCCCACAUGGAGGGGGCGGGCACUCAGUCCACAUGGAGGGGGCGGCCACUCAGUUCACAUUGAGGACUGGUCAAACAGCAUUUCUGAUCCCGUUUCUGACCUGAAAUUAGCUGAAAUGUACCUGAAAUUACCUGGAAUUAGAGUGUGCCCGCCCGAGCGAGUGAUGCCUAAAACAUGCAAACAAAACUGAAGACCAGGAACUGGAACCUGGGAACCUUGAAGAUGAUGUUGUCCUGAAGGACACAAUUCAGGCAGCAGCAUGGUGCCAGUUACAGUCUUUCAAGGACAGCGUUUCUCUCCCAGAGGUCAUUGGGAGAGAAAAGAGCAGAUGGCAGCAUCAACACAGCGCAAAUCCCAUGACGGCGGGGAUGAGGAAGAAACGUGGAAACCAUUCCAAUUCUCAUUCAGAUUACAUACUGACUAUGAACUGUUUUGUGUGGAGAUGAUGAACAGGAGAAACCUGAAGGUGUUUGCCUCUUUUGAGUCAAACACCUCUCCCCCUCCCCCUUCCCGUGACGCCUGCGCCACACGACUCCAAUGUAGUCUGAUGAUGCAGCAUAAUGGCGACGCUUGGCAGCUAUGGCGGUGGUGACGGCGAUGUCGGGCGACAGAGCGUGAAGCGAGAGUGGCGUCCACCUCACUGAGGAAGGCGUCAUUGUGUUCCCCCCCCCGUUGAGACUUUGUUUGUUCU